GAUGCAUGUAUAGGUUUUUCAUAGUUGUUUAGAAACAGAGAAGAUUUUAGAUGGUUGUAUAGUUUUCAUAGUUGUUCCGAAACAUUCAAACGGAGUAGAUUUGAGAUGGUUGUGUAGUUUUUUCAUAGCUGUUUGGAAACAGAGUAGAUUUGAGAUGGUUGUGUAGUUUUUUCAUAGUUGUUUAGAAACACAGAUUAGAUUUGAGAUGGUUGUAUAGUUUUUCAUACUUGUUUCGAAACAGAGUAGAUUUAAGAUGGUUGUAUAUUUUUUCAUAGUUGUUUUAGAAACAUAGAGUAUAUUUGAGAUGGUUGCAUAGUUUUUUCAUAGUUGUUUCAAAACAGAGUAUGUUUAAGAUGGUUGUGUAUCUUUUUCAUAGUUGUUUUAGAAACAGAGUAGAUUUGAGAUGGUUGUGUAGUUUUUUCAUAGUUGUUUCGAAAACAGAGUAGAUUUGAGAUGGUUGUGUAGUUUUUUCAUAGUUGUUUAGAAACACAGAGUAGAUUUGAGAUGGUUGUAUAGUUUUUUUUAUAGUUGUUUCGAAAACAGAGUAGAUUUGAGAUGGUUGUGUAGUUUUUUCAUAGUUGUUUAGAAACACAGAGUAGAUUUGAGAUGGUUGUAUAGUUUUUUCAUAGUUGUUUCGAAAACACAGAGUAGAUUUGAGAUGGCUGUAAGCGACACCUUGCUCUCAGCCCUUGGAUUGCAUUAGACACCGAUCUAACGGAAAAAAAAAAACACUUGAUGCCCUUUCUGUUCUUGCCAGAAGAACACUUGAUCACUUAAAAGACCCAAUUGGGAUACUCUGCAAAUUAAGUGAUAAUUUUGCUUGAAAAUCAGCCGAGCCUAAGAUGAGGUCGGAAGAUGCUGGAUUUGAGCUUUCUAGACUUGUACUUCAUUAGACACCAGGUUGACUUCUCUUCACGUCGAAAAAUAAGAACUGAAAAUAGGAACCUGCUGGGCUGUCUCAAAGAGAACGUGUAGAGUAUGUUGAAUUUCAUCAUCUUGCUAGAUCAUUCCAUCAAAGAGUGGCACACUUUCCAUCUUGCUAGAGAAGAAGUGGCAUCUGAGGCUGGAGACUUUAUCAGACUAGUGGUGGCGGAUCUACAAGGUAGCUAUCUCUUACUUUCUUGAUGACGUCGGAUGCACACUUUCCAGCCGAAUCGAUUGGCCAUGAACCCAUCCCAAUUAAAAGACAGACGCCCCACUCUUUCCAAUUCAAGCUUGCAUUGCCAACAAGAAUAUGUGCAAUCUCUAUAAAACUCAGCUGCAGGGUAAGAGCAAAAACCAAAGACACCAAAAACCAUGGAUGGAGAAGUAUGCCACUGAACACAUUUUUCUUCUCUGGCUGCCUUGCAUUGAUUUGGUUAAACACCUGACAGAGAACGAAAGCGUUGAAAACCAUGGACUCACUAACCUUCUGGUUGAUGCCUAGGAAAGUUUUCCCUUUGAGUUGCAAGGUGACCAACAUGGCUGUCUGGUAUGCCACUUGGAUGAGUAUGUUUCUCCACAUUGGGUUGCUAAUAUUGAGACCUUUAGUUCGUCUUACUGGCGGUGGCUGUUCCUCUGUUGGUGGCUCCAUCAGUAGUGCAAAUCCAGUUGUGAGGGUCACGACCAUCUCUACCCAAAAUGAUUGAAUUGUCGUGAUUGUACUCUGUCCCAUACAUAUCGUUGCAAUGAGGGUUAUCAACAGCAACGCUAUUUUCAUGGUGAUUUCAGGUUGGAUGUACUUUUGAAUCGUGUAGUAAAUGCACCUUUCAAACUUGAUAAUCUUGACCACCAAACCGAAAUCACUGCCAUCCAUGUUGAUUAUGUCACAACACUCUGGAUCUUCACUACUGCGAGUCCCUAUUGCAACCCCCACAUCAGCUUCUUUGAGAAAUGGAGUCUCAUCUAUUCUAUCUCCAACCAUUAACACUUCCUGGCCUUUCUCUUUCAGACAUUGCACCAAAAGGAACUUGUCAGAAGAAGUGGAGUUUACCAUCCAAUAGAUUUUAUCUGAUAUGUCCAUCAUGCCUUCUUUAUCACUAGUUCGAAACCUUUCACCUUCAACCACAGAUUUGUUUGAGUUGGGAAGUACUAUUCCAAAUAAACGAGCAACGUCUUCCAGCACAGGCGCACUAUCGUCUGAGAACAGUAUCACGUUAGAUCCUUCUUUUCUCCAAAAUUCCACUGCUUCCAUAAUGUCUGUGUCAUAAUUAUACAUUACACCUACCAGUGCUAUUAAGGUCAUAUCGUUUUCUUCAAGCAUUUGACCAUUAGUCUUCUUGUAAGCAAAUGCAAUGGUCUUGAGAUUGUUGGACUGCAUGUCUGCUUUUAGUUGGUCAUAAUCCAUUCUAUUCUGUUUAUCCAUGGAGUUUACGUUCCCUUUGCUGUCACUGUAAUGUGAGCACUUGUCUAUUAUUGUCGUUGCAGGUCCUUUAAAAUACCACCACAUGUCUCCAUUCUCCCUGUCCUCCUCAUCAGUGUGAUUCAGCCCCAAAUUCUCAUCUUCCAUUCCCAAUGAGGAUUCAGUCCACGGAAGGAGUUGGUUCUCUGUGGAGGUAGACCCCGUCGAAACUGAUGUUCUGAUUGCAUUGGACAAAGCUUGAAGAGCAUGUGGUUCUUCUUUGAUGACUUCAUCCCCUGUAUAACACAUCUUGACUUUCCGAGAGUUCAAAGUGAGCACAUUUGUGCUAAUGCAAAUAGCUGCAGGGCGCAUGGUGCAAAGAGCUGACAUUUCUUGAGAAAUAUUUGCCUUCUCAGCAGGUAGAAUCUUCUUUCUCCUGUAUCUGAUGGCAAGUGCAACAGAAAAAGUUGCUUUCCCUUUAAUCUCUGGGAGGCCAGAAUUGCUGUCUUUCCUUUCAAGCAUGUAAUGGAGAAAAGAGAUUGUAAGGAUGGCAAUAUAGGAUACGAGGGCAAUCCUUUGCAUGCAUGUGCAUACCUUGUCAAUUUUAGCCAUUAACAACUCGGCUUUAGUCUUUGAUACUGCCUGGUGCUGUGUGUUCCCAGACCAGAACUCACGCAUUGCAUAGAGGACCACAAGAAUUAUUGCGGCAUCCAUUAAAAUGGCCCCCUCAACCCAACCGGUCCCAGUGCCUUCCUCCUUGAUACCAAAUCCAAUUGAGAGCACUGCGGAAAUGAAGAGAAGGAAAAUGUUGCAACUUUUGCAUGAUUUUUUGAGGAGUUUAAAGAAGCUUGGAGCUACUCCUGGUCCAGAACUAGCAUCUACAUCGACUACGAGUCCACUUUCUAAAUCUGCAUGCUGCUGUUUAGCUUCGUCACCACCACCACCACCACCACCAUCUUCCACACUCACAUGGACUUCUUUAGAAACUUGAGGCGAUACUGGUGAAAGGGUCACAUGCUCAGAAUUCCAAGCAGCUAAUCAGGUACGCCAGUAGAUUGCAAUGGGCCGGUAGAUAUACAAUACAAUUGAAGCUAAUAUUGAGCCCCAACAAAAUGGUAAUUAUAUGGGUAAGUCUUUUCAUAUCCAGUUAUUUAAUUUCUAAUUACGCUCAUCAUUUUGGGAGCAUUUGGAAAAAUACAACUCCAACUAAAGGUGUCAAACGGACCGUGUUGGGCCGGCCCGGCCCAUUUAAACUAGUGGUUUAAAUGUAUUCACAUCGGGCCAGUUCGGCCCAUUUAAUUUAUUGGCCGUGCCGUGCUGGCUCAUUUAGUAAAAUCAUUGAUCCCAGCCUG